UUGCCCAGGACCAUUACAAUUCUUGGGACAUUUGCUGAAACACACCGCCCGUCCAAAAAGGGAAAGUUGACCUUUUUGUCUGCUCAUGACAUGUUUUUUAGCUUGAGAUGGCUGUUUUGAAUAGUUUUUUUCUCUAAUGAAAAUUUUCCCUGCUCAUGAGUCGAACAAAAUAAUUACUGCGUUCCUCGACCUUAUAUAUGGAUGACGGCUGACCUUUGGCAUACUGACCCAAGUGCUACUUUUCUUUUUUGUUGUUCACUUUUGAGAAUCUGGAGCAAGCUGAUCGCUUUCGGAUUGAGUAUAGGCACGGAAAAGUACUGCUUGAUUUGAUAUGGUCCAAAGAGGCGACAUCCUCAAGGAAAAGUAAAGGUGUAUUCAUUAAAUAAAUGAAGAAACUCUCCCUUUUUGUACGGGCAGUGUGUUUCGGCAAAUGGCCCGAGAAUUGUAAUGGUACUGGGCAAA